AUUGAACGCUGGCGGCAUGCCUUACACAUGCAAGUCGAACGGUAACAGCACUUCGGUGGCUGACGAGUGGCGAACGGGUGAGUAAUACAUCGGAACGUGCCCGAGAGUGGGGGAUAACGCAGCGAAAGCUGUGCUAAUACCGCAUACGAUCUACGGAUGAAAGCAGGGGACCGCAAGGCCUUGCGCUCAUGGAGCGGCCGAUGGCAGAUUAGGUAGUUGGUGGGAUAAAAGCUUACCAAGCCGACGAUCUGUAGCUGGUCUGAGAGGACGACCAACCACACUGGGACUGAGACACGGCCCAGACUCCUACGGGAGGCAGCAGUGGGGAAUUUUGGACAAUGGGCGAAAGCCUGAUCCAGCCAUGCCGCGUGCAGGAUGAAGGCCUUCGGUUGUAAACUGCUUUGUACGGAACGAAAGGUCUUUCUAAUAAGAAGGCUCAUGACGGUACCGUAAGAAUAAGCACCGGCUAACUACGUGCCAGCAGCCG
rnacentral:rRNA from 1 species